rnacentral:rRNA from 1 species
GUGGGGAAUCUUCCGCAAUGGACGAAAGUCUGACGGAGCAACGCCGCGUGAGUGAAGAAGGUUUUCGGAUCGUAAAGCUCUUUCGUUAGGGACGAACGUGCUCUUUGUGAAUAAUGAGGAGUAAUGACGGUACCUAAAUAAGAAGCCACGGCUAACUACGUGCCAGCAGCCGCGGUAAUACGUAGGUGGCAAGCGUUGUCCGGAAUUAUUGGGCGUACAGCGCGCGCAGGCGGGAUAUCAAGUCUGUCUUAAAAGUGCGAGGCUCAACCUCGUGAGGGGACAGAAACUGGUAUUCUUGAGUGUCGGAGAGGAAAGUGGAAUUCCAAGUGUAGCGGUGAAAUGCGUAGAGAUUUGGAAGAACACCAGUGGCGAAGGCGACUUUCUGGACUGUGUCUGACGCUGAGAUGCAAAAGCCAGGGUAGCGAACGGGAUUAGAUACCCGAGUAGUCC